rnacentral:rRNA from 1 species
GAUGAACGCUGGCGGCGUGCUUAACACAUGCAAGUCGAACGAAGCAUUUGCGACAGUUUUUUUCGGAAUGUAGUUGCUUAUGACUGAGUGGCGGACGGGUGAGUAACCCGUGGGUCACCUGCCUUGUACUGGGGGCUAGCAGCUGGCCACGGCUGGUAAUACCGCAUAAGGGCACAAUGUUGCAUGCCGUGUUGUGAAAACCUCCGGUUGGAUACGAUGGACACUCGCCUGUUUAUCUAGUUGCUGCGUUCACAGCCCACCAAGGCGACGAGCCGUAGCCGACCAGAGAGAGUGACCGGCAACAUUGGGAGUGAGACACGGCACGGACUCCUACGGGAGGCAGCAGUGGGGAAUAUUGCAAAAUGGAGGAAACUAUGAUGCAGCGACGCCGGGUGAGUGAAGAAGUUAUUCGUGAUGUAAAGCUCUAGCAGCAGGGAAGAUAGUGACGGUACCUGACUAAAAAGCGCCGGCUAACUACGUG